rnacentral:rRNA from 1 species
UGGGGAAUUUUGGACAAUGGGGGAAACCCUGAUCCAGCCAUCCCGCGUGUGCGAUGAAGGCCUUCGGGUUGUAAAGCACUUUUGGCAGGAAAGAAACGUCAUGGGUUAAUACCCCGUGAAACUGACGGUACCUGCAGAAUAAGCACCGGCUAACUACGUGCCAGCAGCCGCGGUAAUACGUAGGGUGCAAGCGUUAAUCGGAAUUACUGGGCGUAAAGCGUGCGCAGGCGGUUCGGAAAGAAAGAUGUGAAAUCCCAGAGCUCAACUUUGGAACUGCAUUUUUAACUACCGGGCUAGAGUGUGUCAGAGGGAGGUGGAAUUCCGCGUGUAGCGGUGAAAUGCGUAGAUAUGCGGAGGAACACCGAUGGCGAAGGCAGCCUCCUGGGAUAACACUGACGCUCAUGCACGAAAGCGUGGGGAGCAAACAGG